rfam:Triticum urartu cultivar G1812 contig865154, whole genome shotgun sequence.
AUUAUACUCCCUCCGUCCGAAAAUACUUGUCAUCAAAAUGGACAAAAAGGGAUGUAUCUAAAACUAAAAUACAUCUAGAUACAUCCCUUUUAUCCAUUUUGACUCCAUUUUGAUGAUAAGUAUUUCCGAACGGAGGGAGUAUAUA